AGCGCAGGCGGGAAGACAAGUUGGAAGUGAAAUCCAUGGGCUCAACCCAUGAACUGCUUUCAAAACUGUUUUUCUUGAGUAGUGCAGAGGUAGGCGGAAUUCCCGGUGUAGCGGUGGAAUGCGUAGAUGUCGGGAGGAACACCAGUGGCGAAGGCGGCCUACUGGGCACCAACUGACGCUGAGGCUCGAAAGUGUGGGUAGCAAACA
rnacentral:rRNA from 1 species